AUGGUGAAAGGAAGAAUCUGCAUCGGAAAAGGAAAGCAGCUCUUUGCCCUUUUCUCCAACUGGAAAAGUUCUGUGGAGAUGUGGGCAGCUUGUUGGCCAGAGACAAAAAGAGAGUUCUAUAAGGAGUCAAUUACACCACAGGUGUCUGAACUUGGCAAGAAAAAUCAGUUUGGUGCUGAAACUUGUGACAUACAGAUAUGUGGUAACAAAACUUGGCUUCGUAGUGCAGAUACGGUGAAAUUCACGUUUGGAUACGAGAUGGGUGCCGAUGAGGCCCGCCAGCGUGGCGCCGGACCCACUGUCAGUGGCUGCACAGUGCGGGCGAGGGCGUGUGGCCCGGGUUUUCGCGAAACCCCCCCGGAAUUUGUUUACUUCUCACAAAAAAGCCCCGGCCGUCGCACAUAA
rnacentral:rRNA from 1 species